GAUGAACGCUGGCGGCGUGCCUAAUACAUGCAAGUCGAGCGAACGGACGAGAAGCUUGCUUCUCUGAUGUUAGCGGCGGACGGGUGAGUAACACGUGGAUAACCUACCUAUAAGACUGGGAUAACUUCGGGAAACCGGAGCUAAUACCGGAUAAUAUUUUGAACCGCAUGGUUCAAAGGUGAAAGACGGUCUUGCUGUCACUUAUGGAUGGAUCCGCGCUGCAUUAGCUAGUUGGUAAGGUAACGGCUUACCAAGGCAACGAUGCAUAGCCGACCUGAGAGGGUGAUCGGCCACACUGGAACUGAGACACGGUCCAGACUCCUACGGGAGGCAGCAGUAGGGAAUCUUCCGCAAUGGGCGAAAGCCUGACGGAGCAACGCCGCGUGAGUGAUGAAGGUCUUCGGAUCGUAAAACUCUGUUAUUAGGGAAGAACAUAUGUGUAAGUAACUGUGCACAUCUUGACGGUACCUAAUCAGAAAGCCACGGCUAACUACGUG
rnacentral:rRNA from 1 species